AUUGAACGCUGGCGGCAUGCUUUACACAUGCAAGUCGAACGGCAGCGCGGGGCAACCUGGCGGCGAGUGGCGAACGGGUGAGUAAUAUAUCGGAACGUACCCAGAAGUGGGGGAUAACGUAGCGAAAGUUACGCUAAUACCGCAUACGAUCUACGGAUGAAAGUGGGGGACCUUCGGGCCUCAUGCUUGUGGAGCGGCCGAUAUCUGAUUAGCUAGUUGGUGAGGUAAAGGCUCACCAAGGCGACGAUCAGUAGCUGGUCUGCGAGGACGAACAGCCACACUGGGACUGAGACACGACCCAGACUCCUACGAGAGGCAGCAGUGGGACAUUUUGGACAAUGGGCGCAAGCCUGAUCCAGCAAUGCCGCGUGAGUGAAGAAGGCCUUCGGGUUGUAAAGCUCUUUUGUCAGGGAAGAAACGGCUUGGGCUAAUAUCCUGGGCUAAUGACGGUACCUGAAGAAUAAGCACCGGCUAACUACGUGCCAGCAGCCGCAGUAA
rnacentral:rRNA from 1 species